UGAAUAAUGGUUUAUAAUGACGGUACUUAACGAGGAAGCCACGGCUAACUACGUGCCAGCAGCCGCGGUAAUACGUAGGUGGCAAGCGUUGUCCGGAAUUAUUGGGCGUAAAGGGAGCGCAGGUGGGAAUGUAAGUCAAUCUUAAAAGUGCGGGGCUCAACCCCGUGAUGGGAUAGAAACUACAUUUCUUGAGUGCAGGAGAGGAAAGUGGAAUUCCUAGUGUAGCGGUGAAAUGCGUAGAUAUUAG
rnacentral:rRNA from 1 species